rnacentral:misc_RNA from 1 species
UUUUAUUUAUUUAUUUUUUAAUUAGGCAAUUACAAUAUAGUUCUUCCUUUAUUCUAUGGUCUGUUUAGGGAGCUUUAGAACAGAAUUAAAAUGUUUUGAUAGCAAAUUCACGAGAAUAUAAUGAAAUGUGUUAAUAUUUUCUAGAGCGGUGACAUUUUCUAGCACUAGAUGAUUUAUGGUCAUGUAACAUUACAUUUGAAAGAAGCCUUGAUGUAGUAGUAAGGUUGCUUCAUUGUUACCAAAGAUCAUGGAUCCAAACCUUGAAAACAGCCUCCUUCCAAUGUAAGAAAAAAAGUUGCACACAUCUAGCCCCUAUAGAGCUUGCAAUGUAGGAAGCCUCAUGCAUUCAGACACACUUUUUUACAUUGACCCUGACUAUAGAAAAUUUACUAAGAAGAAAGAAAUUUAUUUAAGUGCAAUGGGAGUAGAAGUUACAGA